GUAAGUUAUGGUGAAGUAAAAUCACAUAACCAAGGUGAUAAGACUAGUGAUUUUACGAGUGUGGAGCUUGAAGAUCAUGAGUAAGAUUGCGUAUAAGACUUUACUUUGUUAUAUAUUUUAACAAGAUUACUUAUCAUGUGAUUAAGUUGUUAUAUAAUUUAUGUAGGAGGAAUAAUAUUUCGGCAAUUUUUUAGGAGAAUUCGUAGACCAAAUUUUGCUAUAUUUGGAGGGAUUACCCAAUCAGCCAGUUAUAGUGGUUAUGCAGAUGAUAAAAGCACACAAAUUUCAAGGCAGGUAUUCUGUGCGUAAUACUUGGCAUGUUUCAAAGCUCUGGAUUAAUACGAAUCUUCCUCAAGCUGUUGAUUUUAAGUCCAGUGAAUCUGCAACUUGAAAAAUAAUGGUUACAUUAGGGGUGCAAGAGAUGCUCGGAGAAGGUUGAUAAAAUUGGAAGUCAAUUUCACCGCAAAAAAUGUGAUCGCCUUGAUAGUUCUGCCAUUCAUAGGUACAAGCUUCAAGUGCAAGUAAUGAAUCGCACUAGCUUUAUAUCUUUGUUGCUUUGGGAUCGUGAAGCAAUAAAACUCAUAGGGAAAUCUGCUAACGAGUUAAAUCAAAGUUCAGUAGAGGUUUUCAUGGCUGAUAAUGAGAUGCUUUCUCCUGCAAGGAAUCCUGCCAAGAGAAGUAGAGAAGAGAAUGAACCAUAUGUAGUAGAAGUUGAUUAUAAUCUUGCAUAAUUAUCAAGUAAUAAGGUCAAAAGAGUGAUUACACAGGAGAAAAAUUGUCACGACCCAA